rnacentral:rRNA from 1 species
GACGUAGGGCGCGAGCGUUGUCCGGAUUUAUUGGGCGUAAAGAGCUCGUAGGCGGCUUGUUGCGUCGGCUGUGAAAACCCAUGGCUCAACCGUGGGCUUGCAGCCGAUACGGGCAGGCUAGAGUUCGGUAGGGGAGACUGGAAUUCCUGGUGUAGCGGUGAAAUGCGCAGAUAUCAGGAGGAACACCGGUGGCGAAGGCGGGUCUCUGGGCCGAUACUGACGCUGAGGAGCGAGAGCGUGGGGAGCGAACAGG